AUGUUGGUCCAUAGAGCCCUACUUUUUCAUUCGUUCACUGGAAGAAAUGGUAUUGUGUGCCUUGCUUGGAUAGGCUCUCCCAUCCCUGAUGGUCUAGACUUGGGUGAUCGCUCAGGGAUGAAAAUAAAGGCUAACUACAAUAGCAUGUCUUACAAAAACAUUUGUCAUGUUGUGAAUAUGACUGCUAUGUUUUUAAACAGGAAGAAUUUUGUAGUUUCAGACUGGCAUCAAAGCCGAGGUUGGAGCGGUGAUAGCGGCUGCAUUGGGACGGACGGUAGCAACAAUAAGAAAUUCCUCAUCCAUGCCUCCAACAAAAAGGGUCAUCUGGGCCCUAUGCUACCAUCGCUUGAGAUGAUAGUAGUGCGAGCUAUUCACAAGCUCUAUCGAGACAUGGAACCGAAGCCGUGA
rnacentral:rRNA from 1 species